rnacentral:rRNA from 1 species
GAUGAACGCUGGCGGCGUGCCUAAUACAUGCAAGUCGAGCGAACGGACGAGAAGCUUGCUUCUCUGAUGUUAGCGGCGGACGGGUGAGUAACACGUGGAUAACCUACCUAUAAGACUGGGAUAACUUCGGGAAACCGGAGCUAAUACCGGAUAAUAUUUUGAACCGCAUGGUUCAAAAGUGAAAGACGGUCUUGCUGUCACUUAUAGAUGGAUCCGCGCUGCAUUAGCUAGUUGGUAAGGUAACGGCUUACCAAGGCAACGAUGCAUAGCCGACCUGAGAGGGUGAUCGGCCACACUGGAACUGAGACACGGUCCAGACUCCUACGGGAGGCAGCAGUAGGGAAUCUUCCGCAAUGGGCGAAAGCCUGACGGAGCAACGCCGCGUGAGUGAUGAAGGUCUUCGGAUCGUAAAACUCUGUUAUUAGGGAAGAACAUAUGUGUACGUAACUGUGCACAUCUUGACGGUACCUAAUCAGAAAGCCACGGCUAACUACGUG